rnacentral:rRNA from 1 species
AGAGUUUGAUCCUGGCUCAGGAUGAACGCUAUCGACAGGCUUAACACAUGCAAGUCGAGGGGCAGCGGGGGCGAAGCUUGCUUCGCCUGCCGGCGACCGGCGCACGGGUGAGUAGCACGUAUGCGACCUGCCCCCCGCAGGGGGAUAACCGGGAGAAAUCCCGACUAAUACCGCGUAACGCCGCUGGGCUGCAUGGCCCGGCGGCCAAAGGAAGCGAUUCCGGCGGGGGAUGGGCAUGCGGCGCAUUAGCUAGUCGGCGGGGUAACGGCCCACCGAGGCGACGAUGCGUAGGGGUUCUGAGAGGAAGGUCCCCCACACUGGUACUGAGACACGGACCAGACUCCUACGGGAGGCAGCAGUGAGGAAUAUUGGUCAAUGGGCGGGAGCCUGAACCAGCCAGGUCGCGUGAGGGAAGACGGUCCUACGGAUUGUAAACCUCUUUUGCCGGGGAGCAACGGGGUCCUUGCGAGGGCCCGAUGAGAGUACCCGGAGAAAAAGCAUCGGCUAACUCCGUGCCAGCAGCCGCGGUAAUACGGAGGAUGCGAGCGUUAUCCGGAUUUAUUGGGUUUAAAGGGUGCGUAGGCGGGCUGUUAAGUCAGCGGUCAAAUGUCGGGGCUCAACCCCGGCCUGCCGUUGAAACUGGCGGCCUCGAGUGGGCGAGAAGUAUGCGGAAUGCGUGGUGUAGCGGUGAAAUGCAUAGAUAUCACGCAGAACUCCGAUUGCGAAGGCAGCAUACCGGCGCCCGACUGACGCUGAGGCACGAAAGCGUGGGUAUCGAACAGGAUUAGAUACCCUGGUAGUCCACGCAGUAAACGAUGAAUGCUAGCUGUCCGGUUCUACGGGACUGGGUGGCACAGCGAAAGCGUUAAGCAUUCCACCUGGGGAGUACGCCGGCAACGGUGAAACUCAAAGGAAUUGACGGGGGCCCGCACAAGCGGAGGAACAUGUGGUUUAAUUCGAUGAUACGCGAGGAACCUUACCCGGGCUCAAACGCCAAAGGACAGCCGCUGAAAGGCGGCCUCCCUCCGGGGUCUUUGGCGAGGUGCUGCAUGGUUGUCGUCAGCUCGUGCCGUGAGGUGUCGGCUUAAGUGCCAUAACGAGCGCAACCCCCAUCGACAGUUGCUAACGGGUGAUGCCGAGGACUCUGUCGAGACUGCCGGCGCAAGCUGCGAGGAAGGCGGGGAUGACGUCAAAUCAGCACGGCCCUUACGUCCGGGGCGACACACGUGUUACAAUGGCCGGUACAGCGGGAUGCCAGGGCGCGAGCCCGAGCGGAACCCGAAAACCGGUCUCAGUUCGGAUUGGAGUCUGCAACCCGACUCCAUGAAGCUGGAUUCGCUAGUAAUCGCGCAUCAGCCACGGCGCGGUGAAUACGUUCCCGGGCCUUGCACUCACCGCCCGUCA